rnacentral:lncRNA from 1 species
CUUUGAGCCCGGAAUGGACGGUAUGUGUAUAUAGCCCGUAAUUGCGACUCCCACGGCCGGAGUUUUUUUUUUUUUUUUUUUUUUUUUUCAGUGUAGCCGGAAACAGCCGAAUUCGAAAAGUUGUCGGCAGAUCAACGCGCGAAUCGGCGCACAGUGGAUCAAGUUAAUAGGAGAGGUCGGACAAAAUUUGGAAACUUUAAAAGCUUUUAACUCCGUUUAUACAAAGCAUUGACCUUCCAUUGGUUUCCUUGUGAAAUUUUCUUCUAAUGGCACCCCAUGAACUUUAAAAUGCGACGAAAUUUACAUGAAAAUUUGCAGUUUAAGUCAAAAAUUUAAAGUCCGACCUCUCUAGUUGACUCGAUUCACUGCGCGGCGAGUACCCGUGCCCGUCCUUUGACUGUUUUGACUUUAUCUUAUCAUGUGUACUAUCAACUGCCUUAUCAUAAAUCGAUCAAUUUUAUCUACAAGUAACGGAACUGCCGAAUUCCCACUCAUUUUCAAGGUUACAAGCCACCUGCACUCACUUGCUGAUCCUUUAUCUUCAGUCAUACUAUUCGGGCCUUGGGAACUCCUAUCCGUGUCCACUUCGAAGUGUUUAAUUUUCGUGCCCACACAAAUAAACGACAAAAGAAUCAUCUUUUACUUUCUGAACUGUACUUUUGUCAUUUUAACAAUGGAAUUAGCGUGUCAUUUGUGCGAGGAGGAAUUAUUUCUCAGCAUUUCACCGAUUAAGUCUCGUGCCAAGCUUACUUGUUGUUCUAGCUGUGGUUAUACUUUUCACGAGGCAUGUUUGAAAACGCGUCUUGAAAGGAAAGAAAAAUGCCCUAAGUGCCAAAAAUAUAUACAAAAGGUAAAAACUGUCAACUUGACUUUCAAUAUUGGAUCUAUUAAGGGACUUGAGAAUGUUGACAAAGUAGUCCGAAGCUCAUUGAAAAGUAAGCUGGAAUUGUUACAGUCAAGCAUCGAACAUCAGAUCGAAACCGGAGUGGAACUAAACAACUUGAUGGAACACGAGGAAUCUGACACAGAUUAUCUGGAACGUAAACACCGGUCUUUCUAUGAUUCAGAAAGAAAAAGAUGCAAAAGUGCACUGACUGAGAGCACUUUAGAGAUAUGUGCAGUAGCAGAGCUGUGUUUAAUGGAUUGUUUGGACAGUAAUCAUAACCAAACAUCUGCUGAGGAUUUUAUUUGUUUGAAAUGUGAUGAAGAACUUUUCGACUAUGGGAAUGCCAUCCAGUGCUGUGGAAACAACAAGUUAGCUUGCCACAUGCAGUGUGGAUCUGUGUAUCACAAAAACUGUUUAUUGAAAUGUAUCAGAUCUGAAGAAGAAUGUGUGAAAUGUAAUCAGCCGGUCUCUCUUGAGGAGAAUAUCAAUUUGAUUUUUUUCACCACAAUCCUAGAUACAAUGCCCGUGGUUCCCGAGAAGUUGAUCAACAAAUUAGUGCUAAUAAAAAAGUAUGUGCCAAUUUCAACCGCUUUAUGGGUGCAGCUUGGCGUAAGCUGUCAUAAUGCUCCUGAUCCUGAAGAUUUUUCUUACUUUAGUGCAGGAGAAGGGAAGAAAGAAAUCAGCAAGCAGUUGAACAUGGUGAAUGAUAUUGUGCGAAAUGCUCUAGAAACAGCUUUAUUGCAAGUAAAGCAACAGAACGGAAGUGACGCAGUCUCCAAAAAUUUGGAGACAACUGAUGCGAAGCCUGAAAGCAACAAGAGAAAGAGGGGUGCCUAAUAUGUCUUGUGGCCCCAUUCCUUCUUCGCAAUCAUAAGUGCCCACUAUGUGUAG